rnacentral:misc_RNA from 1 species
GCCUCUACAAUUUCGUAUUGCAAUGAAAAUUAAAUCCUUAGGAUCACUUAACUCAUAACACAGUAUAACUCACAUCUGGCACCUCGCAAAAAAACUUAAGAGCUUUAGCUGUGGUGCAUGCUAUGUAUUGUGCUCCUGCAGACCAAUCAUUUAAAUGCACGCGAUAUUUCUAGCGAGAAGCGAGAAAAACAACAAUAACAUAGUAACAGCAUGCAUAAGGGACGAUAAAAUAGCAAAAUAUACAUUGGGCCCAGGCUGAUGGAGACGCAGCAAUGCUUGGCAUGGGAUAGAGUGGGGCACAGAGCGUGCCAAAAACUGGGACUGGCGCAAUCGUUUACAGGGCAUAGCUCAACUUGAAGUCGCACUAAGCUCAUCAUCCAACCUGGUGCUGGUGCAGCCCUAUUUGGAU